rnacentral:rRNA from 1 species
UACGUAGGGUGCGAGCGUUAAUCGGAGUACUGGGCGUAAAGCGUGCGCAGGCGGUUCGUUGUGUCGGUGGUGAAAGCCCCGGGCUUAACCUGGGAAUGGCCAUGGAAACUGGCGAACUGGAGUGUGGCAGAGGGGGGUGGAAUUCCGCGUGUAGCAGUGAAAUGCGUAGAUAUGCGGAGGAACACCGAUGGCGAAGGCAGUCCCCUGGGCCUGCACUGACGCUCAUGCACGAAAGCGUGGGGAGCAAACAGG